UGAUCUGAUACACACUUACACUGUAUUCCUCUUUUCUCGACCAGUCUCUCUAGUGCGAAGGGCUCCCACGGAGAUAGUCGGAGAGGGGGCCACGCUGCAGAGCUCAAUGGUCCAGCAGAGAGGAGGAAGAGCUGUACACUCAGGGGCAGCCAGGAGGUUGAACAGCACCAGGACACUGAGAAGAGAAGCCAUCCAGUCACUAAAACAAAGAACAGGAGCCUGCCCACAGACAGGGACAAGGGGAAGGGUGCUGCCUUUAUAGCCAACGGUAGGUUGGUACCAGCUCUGUCGCCUCAGAGGAAGAAUGGAGGUUUUGGUCCAGAUACCUUUGGUGAUACAUCAUCAGAAAGCUACAGCUCUCCAUCCAGCCCUCAACACAGAGGACAAGAGAGCCUGGAUAGUGAGGACGACAACAACAAAGAUACAGACAGCCACUCUGAUGACUCCA
rnacentral:lncRNA from 1 species